GCAUCAUUCACAUCAGGCAAUGCUUCUUGUGAAAAGCAAACCCAGAACUGGUGUGUGUUUUUUUAUAGGGCAGGGCAGCUGUAACCAACACCUCUAAUCUCAUCUCAUUGAUUGGACUCCAAUUGGCUAACAUCUCACUCCAAUUAGCUCUUGGAGAUGUCAUUAGUCUAGGGAUUCACAUACUUUUUCCACCUGCACUGUGAAUGUUUACAUGGUGUGUUCAAUAAAAACAUGGCAACAUUUCAUUCUUUGUGUGUUACUAGUUUAAGCAGACUGUGAUUGUCUAUUGUUGUGACUUAGAUGAUGAUCAGAUCACAUUUUAUGACCAAUUUGU